rnacentral:rRNA from 1 species
GAAAGGACAUCAACCGAGACUCCGUUAGUAGUGGCGAGCGAACGCGGACCAGGCCGUGCUCUGAAACAACGAGAACCAGCUGGAAAUCUGGGCCAUAGCGGGUGAUAGCCCCGUAUCGGUAAAAUGAAGAGCCGUUAGAGUAAGGCGGGACACGUGAAAUCCUGUCUGAAGAUGGGGGGACCACCCUCCAAGCCUAAGUACUCCUUACAGACCGAUAGCGAACAAGUACCGUGAGGGAAAGGUGAAAAGACCCCCGACGAGGGGAGUGAAACAGAUCCUGAAACCGAACGCUUACAAGCAGUGGGAGCGAAAGUGACCACAUACCUUUUGUAUAAUGGGUCAGCGACUUAGUUUAACGAGCAAGCUUAAGCCGAUAGGCGUAGGCGCAGCGAAAGCGAGUCUGAAUAGGGCGCCCAAGUUCGUUGAAUUAGACCCGAAGGCAAGUGAUCUAGGCAUGUCCAGGCUGAAGGUGCGGUAACACGCACUGGAGGGCCGAACCCAUGAAUGUUGAAAAAUUCUGGGAUGAGGUGUGCCUAGGGGUGAAAGGCUAAUCAAACUUGCUGAUAGCUGGUUCUCCGCGAAAACUAUUUAGGUAGUGCGUCGGCUGAAUACGUCAGGGGGUAGAGCACUGGAUGGGCUAGGGGGUCUCGCAGACUUACCAAACCUAACCAAACUCCGAAUACCUGACAGUAAUAGCCGGCAGACACACGGUGGGUGCUAACGUCCAUCGUGAAGAGGGAAACAACCCUGACCGUCGAUUAAGGCCCCCAAGUAAUGGCUAAGUGGGAAAGCAUGUGGGAAUGCUGAAACAACCAGGAUGUUGGCUUAGAAGCAGCCAUCAUUUAAAGAAAGCGUAACAGCUCACUGGUCAAGCGUUCCUGCGGCGAAAAUGUAACGGGGCUCAAGCCAUUCGCCGAAAUCACGGGCUCGAAAGAGCGGUAGCGGAGCGUACUGUAAGUCUGUGAAGGGUUAUCGUGAGGUAGCCUGGAGAUAUCAGUAGUGAGAAUGCUGACAUGAGUAACGACAAACAGUGUGAAAGACACUGUCGCCGAAAGACCAAGGGUUCCUGCGUAAAGUUAAUCUGCGCAGGGUUAGUCGGCCCCUAAGGCGAGGCGGAAACGCGUAGUCGAUGGGAACCAGGCGAACAUUCCUGGACCAGGAGGUGGUGACGGAUUUCGAAAGUCGUACGUUCUUAUUGGAUUGAACGUGCGGCCUGGGAGUCCCUGGAAAUAGCCCCUCCAUUAGACCGUACCCGAAACCGACACAGGUGGUCAGGUAGAGUAUACCAAGGCGCUUGAGAGAACUAUGCUGAAGGAACUAGGCAAAUUACACGCGUAACUUCGGGAUAAGCGUGCCUCAUUAGAACGUAAGUUUUAGUGAGGGGCACAAGCCAGGGGGUGGCGACUGUUUAUCAAAAACACAGGGCUCUGCGAAGCCGCAAGGCGACGUAUAGGGUCUGACUCCUGCCCGGUGCCGGAAGGUUAAAGAGAGGUGUGCAAGCAUCGAACUGAAGCCCCGGUGAACGGCGGCCGUAACUAUAACGGUCCUAAGGUAGCGAAAUUCCUUGUCGGG